rnacentral:rRNA from 1 species
GAUGAACGCUGGCGGCGUGCCUAAUACAUGCAAGUCGAGCGAACGGACGAGAAGCUUGCUUCUCCGAUGUUAGCGGCGGACGGGUGAGUAACACGUGGAUAACCUACCUAUAAGACUGGGAUAACUUCGGGAAACCGGAGCUAAUACCGGAUGAUAUUUUGAACCGCAUGGUUCAAAAGUGAAAGACGGUCUUGCUGUCACUUAUAGAUGGAUCUGCGCUGCAUUAGCUAGUUGGUAAGGUAACGGCUUACCAAGGCAACGAUGCAUAGCCGACCUGAGAGGGUGAUCGGCCACACUGGAACUGAGACACGGUCCAGACUCCUACGGGAGGCAGCAGUAGGGAAUCUUCCGCAAUGGGCGAAAGCCUGACGGAGCAACGCCGCGUGAGUGAUGAAGGUCUUCGGAUCGUAAAACUCUGUUAUUAGGGAAGAACAUAUGUGUAAGUAACUGUGCACAUCUUGACGGUACCUAAUCAGAAAGCCACGGCUAACUACGUG